GUGAGGAAUAUUGCGCAAUGGAGGCAACUCUGACGCAGCCAUGCCGCGUGCAGGAAGAAGGCGCUACGCGUUGUAAACUGCUUUUAACCGGGAAGAAACCCCAGGACGUGUCCUGGGUUGACGGUACCGGAGGAAUAAGCACCGGCUAACUUCGUGCCAGCAGCCGCGGUAAUACGAAGGGUGCAAGCGUUAUCCGGAUUCAUUGGGUUUAAAGGGUGCGUAGGCGGAGCGUUAAGUCAGUGGUGAAAUCCUGCAGCUGAACUGUAGACGUGCCAUUGAUACUGGCGCUCUUGAGUGCGCUUGAAGUGGGCGGAAUGUGCCGUGUAGCGGUGAAAUGCUUAGAUAUGGCACAGAACACCAAUUGCGAAGGCAGCUCACUAAGGCGAUACUGACGCUGAGGCACGAAAGCGUAGGGAUCGAACAGGAUUAGAAACCCGGGUAGUCC
rnacentral:rRNA from 1 species